CGAGCACCCUUAUCAAAGGGCCGGCGCUCUCUCGUGAACACACAGAGACGAUGCGAGUACACAGAGAGAGCGAGAGAGAGAGAAAGAGAGAGAAAAAGAAAGCGAGAGAGAGAGAAAAAGCGAAAAAGAGAGAAAAAACAGAGCACUGUUCCCGCGCCAUUGCGGAAAGGCUUGGAGUGCUAACAAUGGAUAUCCACUCGCCCCGUGCUAACACCUGGACUCUGGAACAGCAUCCCGCGUUCGAUCGGUUCACCAACCAGCCGACCACCUUCGCCGUCCGUCCGCGUCACCAGCCCCGUUCGUCAAGCUUAUCCAUCAUCCUGUAUCCUCUUAAUGUUCGGAAACGUUAGUUUCUCCCACGCGUCUCGGCGAUCGAUGGAGUCGUCGCCGAUUGGAAUCCGAGCCACUUCGUGCCGUCGAUGGCACAAGUAUAAUUCGUCUCACUUCGCAAAACGGUAGCGUAGCGAGGUGCAUUAGCAUAAUAAACAGAGAUUUGGGACCCUAUAUACAUUUUAUAUAUUAUAUAUUUAUGCAUAAAUAUAUAUUAUAUAUUUUAUGUAGAAUACCCGCACGCCUUUUUUGCGAAAAGAAAACGCAGGACUAUUCCGAACUUGUUUUGGACGCGAGUCAGGUAUGCGAAAUCUGAAUUCAGUGCAACGUUAGCGGUAAUAGCAGUAGUUUUUAGUAUGAACGUUAGUUUAUCGGUUAUUUUUACUCCCUCGUGGGGAGGGGAAUUUUGUUGUAGCACGCGCGCGAUGUAUCUCCGAAGUAUUUUAUUUUCUCUCUCUUCUCGUGGCAGCGAUGAAAUGUUGUUCGCGUUUUUCCCAGUACUUAUAACUACGCUGGUACCUCCCCGUCUCUGGAGGUGGCAGCGCAAGAAUGUGACAACGUUAAUAUAACUUAAAUGCAAUCAUAUAUUUACGCGCAUUUUUAAGAGCUAACUGCUGAAGGAAGUGUCGCGCGAAAAAAAAAAACACAAACGAGAAUAUAUGCGAGAACUUGCGAAGUUCUUCAAAGAUCUCGUCGGAGAAAAUCACAAUUGAUGCCAAUGUGUCUUCCUUUUUUUUUUUCUCGUGCGACACGUCUCUCACGUCGGAGAAAUUGUCGAAAUUCUAUACAACUCUCUCGCAUAAAUGUGCCUUAUAUAAUGUUAACGUAGUGCGGUGUAGCCGCGUUACCGUUCUAGAUAAAGCUUUGUUAUCGAUAGACUCUACGUAGUAGCAUUAGAACUGUGCAAUCAAAAUUUAACUUUCACGCGAUAUGUAUAUCCCUAGAAAGAGAAGGACAAUGUCGAUUAGAUUGUUCUCCUAAUAGUCUUUUUCGUUAAGUUGCGAGAAGAACUGUUAGGAACAUCCAUAGCUAGAAUCAUGAAUAUCACGAGGAUAAGGCUUUAAAAGUAUGCGUUGUAUGCGGAUGCACGAGAGAGCUACAUGUACAUAUUGUUUCAACUGAAAGUAUUAAGAGAAGUACUGUUCGCAGAGAAUAUUCUAGUACGUCAAUGUGCAAUACGUUGAUGAUGAAAGAAAAGUCUAAAAUGCGUUGCCAAGAAAUAAAUUGCACAUUUUAACUUUGCGAAAAACUUACAAUUCAAACUGCAGGAUUAUCAAACAGAUACGUAUAUAUAUUUAUAUAAAUAUUGAUAAAACCUCGUAUCAUCAGGCAAAACGGCAAAAAAAAAAUAACAGAAGUAUCACGAGAUCUGUUAUGACUUUCUACAUCGCGGAAUUAUUUGCAAGAUAUUAUUAAACAUGUAUAUGAAUAUAAACAAAAGAAAUGUAUGUAAUCUCUGUCUACAUACAAGCAAAGAGUGUUUGCGUGAGAGAGUGACUUACUUAAUAUCGACUUUAUCAUUAUAUUAGAGAGUUGCAUCACUUUAGGUCUGCCAUAUUGUACAUGUAACGAUUAAGAAUAUCAAGUUGCACGCGUUAUAUAACUUCUGUAUAGUCAUUCAUGUGUCAAAUGUUAUACUCGUUCUUUCGACAGAUAUUUUUGAAUUUUUGUCCAAGGAGUCCCUCCUAGGUGUACCGAUAGCUCGGUCCUUCAUGUAUAUAUAAGCGUUGAAAGAUAUACACGCACAUGUUUAAGAGUGAUCUGAAAUCUACUUAAGUUUUCAACGUAAAAAAAAAACAAAUAUAUUCGAUAUAUUUUAUUAUUGUACGUAAAUAAUUGAUUUAACGAAAUAUUUUGAAUAUCAUCGUCCUUUAUUAAGUGCGAUUAUAAUAUACGAAUUAUAUAUAUGCGCAUUCGCGAGCGUGAUUAUACAUAUAGAGAACAGAUAUACUCUGUGUAUAUUCUGUUUAAUAUAUAUAUAUAUAUAUAUAUGCGCCUGAGAACGUAAAUUAUUACACAUGUAUACACAUAAUGUAUUAUACAUAUGCACUGACUCAGUUGAAUAUCCGGACGGUAUGAAUACCACUGUGAUUUACUUCUGCGUCAAACGGCGAUACAUUAUCUGUUAUGAUUUUGGAAAGAAAAUCCAUUUUUAAUAUUUGCGUUCUAUCAUAAUUUAUUAUAUAUAGUUUUUGUAUAAUAUUAUUGCAGCUCGCACUGCUUUAUCAAUUAUAUAAGCUAUAUGGCGCAUAAAUAUCCGAUCUUCAUUAUUAUUUUUUUAUAAUUUUUCGAGAUUAUUAUUAUUAUUAUUACCGCAGAAGUAAACGCAGGCGUGAUUUGUUUACACCCUGUUAUCGUAUUUAUAAAUGUAUUCAGAUAAGUUACAUAAGAAAUUAUAUAUAUGUGCAAGCAAAAAAAUCUUGUUAGAUCUUACGGCAUGCGAAUUUACAUUUAUUAUUCUAUAGUUAUAUAGUUUUUUUUUGCCGAAAUUUAUUGUACAUGGUAAUUUUUUAGUUUCAUAUUUUAUUUUAAUGUUGAUAUAUGUGCAGGAUAUGUGGCAAUAUUAAUGUGUAAGUGACAAUGAAAAGCAAUUCUGUUUUCUGAAAUCUCGGAAAGAUCUGAUUACGAAUCAUAGUAUACUGUACGCUACUUAUCGAAGAAAAUUCACAAUUUACUGAAAGUGCAAAUAAAAUAGUUUAUACAAACAUGUAUAAAUACUAUGAUGAACGGUAA
rnacentral:lncRNA from 1 species